UAUAUGAAAACAAAAUUACAAAAAAAAGAAGAGAAAAUAUUAAAUUCUUUGGAAUGUGUAAGCGAGACGUUUUUUUUCUUUUCGCCUUUAUAUU
rnacentral:ribozyme from 1 species